rnacentral:sRNA from 1 species
GCUUGGCAUGGUGGCACAUGUCUGUAAUCCCAGUGACUUGGGAGGCAGAGGCAGGAGGUUUGCAAGUUCAAAGCCAGCUUCCUCAACUGAGGCCCUGAGCAACUUAUCAAGAUCCUGUCUCGA